UACAGGGGGUGCAAACGUUGCUCGGAAUCAUUGGGCGUAAAGCGCGUGUAGGCGGCAGGGCAUGUCGGAUGUGAAAUCCCGUGGCUCAACCACGGAAGUGCACCCGAAACUGCCCAGCUUGAGUCUCGGAGAGGAAGGCGGAAUGCUUGGUGUAGAGGUGAAAUUCGUAGAUAUCAAGCGGAACACCGGUGGCGAAGGCGGCCUUCUGGACGAUGACUGACGCUGAGACGCGAAAGCGUGGGGAGCAAACAGG
rnacentral:rRNA from 1 species